rnacentral:rRNA from 1 species
CCUACGGGUGGCAGCAGUGGGGAAUAUUGCACAAUGGGGGAAACCCUGAUGCAGCGACGCCGCGUGAAUGAAGAAGUAAUUCGUUAUGUAAAGCUCUAUCAGCAGGGAAGAAAAUGACGGUACCUGAGUAAGAAGCCCCUGCCAACUACGUUCCAACAGCCGCGGGAAUACGUAGGGGGCAAGCGUUAUCCGGAUUUGCGGGGUGUAAAGGGAGCGUAGACGGCAGUGCAAGUCUGGAGUGAAAGGCGGGGGCUCAACCCCCGGACUGCUAUGGAAACUGUACGGCUGGAGUGCAGGAGAGGUAAGUGGAAUUCCUAGUGUAGCGGUGAAAUGCGUAGAUAUUAGGAGGAACACCAGUUGCGAAGGCGGCUCUCUGGACUGUAACUGACACUGAGGCACGAAAGCGUGGGGAGCAAACAGGAUUAGAUACCCCUGUAGUC